GAUGAACGCUGGCGGCGUGCCUAAUACAUGCAAGUCGAGCGAACAGACGAGGAGCUUGCUCCUCUUACGUUAGCGGCGGACGGGUGAGUAACACGUGGAUAACCUACCUAUAAGACUGGGAUAACUUCGGGAAACCGGAGCUAAUACCGGAUAAUAUAUUGAACCGCAUGGUUCAAUAGUGAAAGACGGUUUUGCUGUCACUUAUAGAUGGAUCCGCGCCGCAUUAGCUAGUUGGUAAGGUAACGGCUUACCAAGGCAACGAUGCGUAGCCGACCUGAGAGGGUGAUCGGACACACUGGAACUGAGACAAGGUCCAGACUCCUACGGGAGGCAGCAGUAGGGAAUCUUCCGCAAUGGGCGAAAGCCUGACGGAGCAAAGACGCGUGAGUGAUGAAGGUCGUCGGAUAGUAAAACUCUGUUAUGAGGGAAGAACGAAUGUGUAAGUAACUAUGCACGUCUUGAAGGUACCUAAUCAGAAAGCCAAGGCUAACUACGUG
rnacentral:rRNA from 1 species